GAUGAACGCUGGCGGCGUGCCUAAUACAUGCCAGUCGAGCGAACAGAUGAGGAGCUUGCUCCUCUGACGUUAGCGGCGGACGGGUGAGUAACACGUGGAUAACCUACCUAUAAGACUGGGAUAACUUCGGGAAACCGGAGCUAAUACCGGAUAAUAUAUUGAACCGCAUGGUUCAAUAGUGAAAGACGGUUUUGCUGUCACUUAUAGAUGGAUCCGCGCCGCAUUAGCUAGUUGGUAAGGUAACGGCUUACCAAGGCAACGAUGCGUAGCCGACCUGAGAGGGUGAACAGCCACACUGGAACUGCGACACGGACGAGACUCCUACGGGAGGCAGCAGUGGGGAAUAUUCGGCAAUGGGCGAAAGACUGACGGAGCAACGCCGCGUGAGUGAUGAAGGUCUUCGGAUCGUAAAACUCUGUUAUUGGGGAAGAACAAAUGUGUAAGUAACUAUGGACGUCUUGACGGUACCUAAACAGAAAGCAACGGCUAACUACGUG
rnacentral:rRNA from 1 species